AGAGAAAGACGACCUGACUAUAGUAUCAAUCCUUUGCGUUUGCUUGCUGUCAUUUUUUUAUAAUAACCCUUAAGAUAGAAUCUCGAAUAGAGUCUCGUAGCUCAGCCGGUUAGAGCGCUACACUGAUAAUGUAGAGGUCGGCAGUUCGAGUCUGCCCGAGACUACUAAAUUCCACAUUGGAAAAAAGGGGGGAUUAGCUCAGCUGGCUAGAGCGCCUGCCUUGCACGCAGGAGGUCAUCGGUUCGACUCCGAUAUUCUCCACAACUUCUUAAUGUAUUUUAAGAAUAAGAGUUCAUUGACAUAUUGAAAAUAUCAAGUACAAUUCAUAAAUUAUUCAGUUAUCCAAUUUAAUAGUUUUUUGAGAUUGUACAGAGUUAACGUAAAUAGGUAUUUAAUACUGUUAUUAUUAAAUACCAAAUAAUUUUACAAUUUAAGAAAGAGUUAAGAGUUACUUGUAACUUUUUAAUAAGUUAC
rnacentral:tRNA from 1 species